GGGCUUUUUGGGAAACACUGAUCCACAUUCUUCACCAUUCUUGGACAUUUUAUAGACCAAACUACUAAUUGAUUAAUCAAGAAAAAAAAAAUCAACAGAUUAAUCGACGAUGAAAAGAAUCCUUAGUUGCAGCCCAACUCUCUAGAUGUUCAUAAUUGU